rnacentral:rRNA from 1 species
CGGGGGGCUUACGGGAGGCACCAUUGGGGAAUUUUGGACAAUGGGCCCAACCUUAAUCCAGCAAUCCGGCGUCAAGAAUGAAGCCCUUCGGGUGGUAAACGGUUUUUGUCCGUAAGGAAAGGAAUCUUUUUAUUAAAGAGGGUAAAUAACGGUACCGUAAGAAUAAGCACCGGCUAACUACGUGCCAGCCGCCGCGGUAAUAC